rnacentral:rRNA from 1 species
GAUGAACGCUGGCGGCGUGCCUAAUACAUGCAAGUCGAGCGAACAGACGAGGAGCUUGCUCUUCUGACGUUAGCGGCGGACGGGUGAGUAACACGUGGAUAACCUACCUAUAAGACUGGGAUAACUUCGGGAAACCGGAGCUAAUACCGGAUAAUAUAUUGAACGGCAUGGUUCAGUAGUGAAUGACGGCUUGCCUGUCACUAAUAGAUGGAUCCGCGCCGCAUUAGCUAGUUGGUAAGGUAACGGCUUACCAAGGCAACGAUGCGUAGCCGACCUGAGAGGAUGAUCAGCCACACUGGAACUGAGACACGGUCCAGACUCCUACGGGAGGCAGCAGUAGGGAAUAUUCGACAAUGGGCGAAAGCCUGACCGAGCAACGCCGCGUGGGUGAUGAAGGUCUUCGGAUCGUAAAACUCUGUUAUUGGGGAAGAACAAAUGUGUAAGUAACUAUGCACGUCUUGACGGUACCUAAUCAGAAAGCCACGGCUAACUACGUG